CCUACGGGUGGCAGCAGUCGAGAAUAAUUCACAAUGGGGGAAACCCUGAUGGUGCGACGCCGCGUGGGGGAAUGAAGGUCUUCGGAUUGUAAACCCCUGUCAUGUGGGAGCAAAUUAAAAAGAUAGUACCACAAGAGGAAGAGACGGCUAACUCGGUGCCAGCAGCCGCGGUAAUAAAGAGGUCUCAAGCGUUGUCCGGAAUCACUGGGCGUAAGGCGUGCGUAGGCUGUUUCGUAAGUCGUGUGUGAAAGGCGCGGGCUCAACCCGCGGACGGCACAUGAUACUGCGAGACUAGAGUAAUGGAGGGGGAACCGGAAUUCUCGGUGUAGCAGUGAAAUGCGUAGAUAUCGAGAGGAACACUCGUGGCGAAGGCGGGUUCCUGGACAUUAACUGACGCUGAGGCACGAAGGCCAGGGGAGCGAAAGGGAUUAGAUACCCUGGUAGUC
rnacentral:rRNA from 1 species